rnacentral:rRNA from 1 species
GAGGGGCCUGCGUCCUAUCAGCUAGUUGGUGAGAUAACAGCCCACCAAGGCGAUGACGGGUAGGGGGUGUGAGAGCACGACCCCCCACAAAGUCACUGAGACACGGGACUUACACCUACGGGUGGCAGCAACUGGGAAUUUUGCGCAAUGGACGAAAGUCUGACGCAGCGACACCGCGUGUGGGAUGAAGUAUUUCGGUAUGUAAACCACUGUGAUAAGGGAUGAAAUUUUGACAGUACCUUAUUAGAAAGCAUCUGCUAACUACGUGCCAGAAGCCUCGGCAAUGCGUGGGAUGCAAGCGUUAUCCGGAUUUACUGGGCGUAAAGGGUUUCGCAGGCGGACUGUUAAGUCUGGUCUUAAAGCCUAGGGCUCAACCCCAGAUAUGGAUUAGAUACUGGCAGUCUUGAGGGUAUCAGGGGGGACUGGAACACUCGGUGGAGGGGUGAAAUCCGUUGAGAUCGAGUGGAACGCCAAUGGCGAAAGCAGGUCCCUGGGGUAUUUCUGACGCUCAGGUACGAAAGCUAGGGGAGCAAACGGGAUUAGAG